rnacentral:rRNA from 1 species
GAUGAACGCUAGCUACAGGCUUAACACAUGCAAGUCGAGGGGAAACGACAUCGAAAGCUUGCUUUUGAUGGGCGUCGACCGGCGCACGGGUGAGUAACGCGUAUCCAACCUGCCCAUCACUUGGGAAUAACCUUGCGAAAGUAAGACUAAUACCCAAUGAUAUCCCACGAAGGCAUCGGAAUGGGAUUAAAGAUUUAUCGGUGAUGGAUGGGGAUGCGUCUGAUUAGCUUGUUGGCGGGGUAACGGCCCACCAAGGCAACGAUCAGUAGGGGUUCUGAGAGGAAGGUCCCCCACAUUGGAACUGAGACACGGUCCAAACUCCUACGGGAGGCAGCAGUGAGGAAUAUUGGUCAAUGGGCGAGAGCCUGAACCAGCCAAGUAGCGUGCAGGAAGACGGCCCUAGGGGUUGUAAACUGCUUUUAUAAGGGAAUAAAGUGGGUCACGUGUGACUUUUUGCAUGUACCUUAUGAAUAAGGACCGGCUAAGUCCGUG